GACGAACGCUGGCGGCGUGCUUAACACAUGCAAGUCGAACGCUGAAGCUCAGCUUUUGUUGGGUGGAUGAGUGGCGAACGGGUGAGUAACACGUGAGUAACCUGCCCCCUUCUUUGGGAUAACGCCCGGAAACGGGUGCUAAUACUGGAUAUUCACUGGUCUUCGCAUGGGGGUUGGUGGAAAGGGUUUUUCUGGUGGGGGAUGGGCUCGCGGCCUAUCAGCUUGUUGGUGGGGUGAUGGCCUACCAAGGCUUUGACGGGUAGCCGGCCUGAGAGGGUGACCGGUCACAGUGGGACUGAGAUACGGCCCAGAGUCCGACGGGAGGCAGCAGUGGGGAAUAUGGCACAAUGGGCGCAAGCCUGAUGCAGCGACGCCGCGUGAGGGAUGGAGGCCUUCGGGUUGUGAACCUCUUUCGCUCAUGGUCAAGCCGCAACAAUGGUUGUGGUGAGGGUAGUGGGUAAAGAAGCGCCGGCUAACUACGUG
rnacentral:rRNA from 1 species